UUGUGAUCUCUUGCAAGUCGAAUUAUCAAAACAAAUUGAGAACAUCUCGCAGUUGUUACUCAUUCCCGUCCAAUCUGUCGGGAGCGGCAGACGCGGCCGAUAACAAAUUAACAUCAACAUAACAAUUCGUGUAACAACUUGUUGAUUGAUAAACAAACGGAAGCACGUGCAAGAUUUAAGUGAUUUCCACAGACGUCAUCAUUUGCUAAUGAUGUAACAUGGCGCGAAGGCUGGUAAUUCUCAUGAUAUGUGCAGUGAUAUUGUCGCAUGAAGUAACAGGUUUCGUACUGCUGUCCUCUAAUAAAACAACGAAGCAAGAGAAUAUUAGAGAAAAACAGACAGUUCCUGCACAGAAAAUAUCGAAUGAUUAUAGAAAAUAUAACUUUAUAAUAACAACAUAUUUAUAGUUAUCGUAGAUACAUAAAUACUCUAUUUUUAUUUUUAUUAAAAAUCUAUGUUACUAAUGGCUGUGAUUUGGAUUUGCCCUAUACCUACACAUUUAAAAAAAUUAAUGUUCUAUUCUUGUCAAAUUUACUCAACAGUUGAAUCAGUUAUAUGUAGGGUAUGUUAAAGGGUGUCGCUGCUAUUGAAUAAAUUAGUUAAGAAAUGUAUUUAUAAUUUUUAUUUUCAAUUUUGGCCGCCGGUUAUAAUCCUUGCCAUUCUGCUCUGCAACUACUUGUGUAUAAAAAAAUACUUUGAGGUCGAAAAACAUGAUAUGAAAGUGAAUCUGCCAGAAAAACAGUCGUUAAAGAUUACUAAUUAAUAGUUGAAUGGUAUAUUUUGUUAUAAGGCUUGAUUGGGAAUAAGUAUUUUUAUGUCAGAAGAGGUGAAGAGGUUAGAAAUGCAAUUUCGACAUAGUCAAAAUGAUUUGUACAAAUGUAUUUCUCCAUCAGCCGUAAAGGAGUCGAUGAUUUUUCGCUAGAAAAAAGAAAAUGCAAGUAAAACUCAGAUGAAAAGUCUUCCUUCUAGGAAGUCUGAACAUACUUAUGUUCCAUUCUUCAAUCUCCAUGUCCAGUCCAACAAAGUGCAAUUCUUGGACCAGAUGCAAUAAAAAAAAGUAAGUUUAGUAUUAUAUCUACCCUGGACUCCAAGUGCUCCGUUCGACGAUGCUCUAUAGCUAUCUAAGAGGAAGCUUCCGUAAAACCACUCAUAUAUGAGAGAGGGGAGAGUUCAUUCUAAUACUAAUCCUAUCCCACUAAUAUUAUAAAUGCCAAAGAAGUAGGUACCUACUGUUCUCAUGGGCAAUAUACACAGGCGAAUCUGCAAGAAAAACUUGUUAAUGAUAUUUGUUUUUGUAUCACAUUAGCAACCGCUUGUUUUCCGUAGGAGUAGUAGAGACCUCCACUCUAGCGAUAUAGGUAGGUACAUUCCUAAGAAAUAUAAUUUCUAGGAUUACAAGGCGUUUAACAUCAAGAGUAGACUAGAAUGCCAUUCGCGGAAUCAAGUUGGCAGUUUGUGAAGGGUGUCGUCUCAAUGUUUUUAAUUAUCUACAGCCUAUAUAUUCUGAUGCCUCUAGUUUCUGUCCGCACUGGAAUGCUUACUCGGUAAUUACCUAUUUUUGCCGUACAUUGCUUAGUUUUUCCUUGCGUUGAUAUAAAGCUCACAUUAAAACUUAGCAGUAGUGCACUUAGCAGAAGUGCACCCAAAUAGUGUUGGCUUGAUGUCGUCAAGGAUGAAAGUCCUGCCGAUGCCCUGACGAGACUGACAACUACGAUUACAGAAGACCGAACGAAAUGAUAAAGAAAAAGUAGGAAAGUCGACCCUGGGCUUCUACGCUAUAUAGAGGAAACACCCGGGAACACCCGGGGAAACGCUCAGAUGAAAAGACUUUAUACAAAAAACUAAAUCGCUCUCUUUUGCAUCAGGAGUUAAAAUGAGCACAGCCAUUUAUGACAUCAGGUUAAUAAUAAAGCCAUGUUUGUCCGGCCGAUAGUAAACAGUUUCAAAUGUUUCAAUUGAUGAAGAGAACGCAUUGAGUCUUAUUAGACAAACACAUCUUGUUCUGUUUAAUAAACAUUACUCAUUCAGCUGUUUGUCUUUAGUUACAAUGUUUAAAUGCUAUUAUUUUAUAAUUAAAAGACUUCAAAAAGCAAUUCUUAUUCAUCACGUACUUUUUUAUCAUUAUCUACGUGGGAUAACACUGGUACUUUUGAAUUAUAAAAUAUGAAAAUUAUUUUUGUGAAACAUUAUAAUGUGUACAUAUAUAACUUAUGCUACUUACUAUAUACUACGCCAUAGUAUAAGUUAUCGUAAGAUAUAUAGAUAAUGUAAUUAACAUAAGAAUAAAGGAGUUUAACAAGAACAUGGCUAUCCUGCCUUUAUAUGUAUUUAACGCUAUCUAAUGUACUAGGUACUCU